CAGAAAAGUACACCAGACAGGAAGGUGGUUAUCAGCCACCACUGGCUGGGAACCUGCAGUGAGUGGGAGCACACCCUUCCGUUCCUCUUUGGGAUGGCUCCCAUUGACCCACUCUUGUGGAAAACAAGCUGCUUCUUUCAACCAACCAGUCAAGAGAAAGAGAGAAGUUGAGAAGGGUUUGGGGACAGUCCUUGGCCUCUCCACUUCAGGGGAGUAUUGAUAGGCUCUGAAAACAUCUGUGGUCCUCUGGUCCUCGACCCAUGAGUGGAGCAAUCGGUUGGUGUUGGCUGUUAUUCCAACUUGCGAAGCGGACAAUUGAGCUGGUGUGCUUCAGGAACCUUGCCACGGUGACUGCCUUCAAAUAAAAAACAAAGAUGCAACCUGGGCUCUGGACCCAGGCUUCCAGCUUCCAAGACUCUGGACCUCUGCAGCCUUCCUCCAAGGUACUGCCGGCCUCUCCCUGCCUCUGUGACUUCUAGGCACUUGAUCUUUGACCUGCUGGCACCGAUGGCUCUUCCCAGGCUUCUCCCACACCAGCUGUUGCCACCCACGGCUAAGCAGAACCAAAGUCAUCCUUCAUCCCAGUAAGUGUGUGCUGACAUUUCCACAGCAGCCGCUGCUCACUCCUCUGGGCAGCCACUAAGCUCACCUUCACAUUUGCCAGGCC
rnacentral:lncRNA from 1 species